rnacentral:rRNA from 1 species
UAAGCGGAGGAAAAGAAACUAACAAGGAUUCCCCUAGUAACGGCGAGUGAAGAGGGAAGAGCUCAAAUUUGAAAGCUGGUACCUCCGGUAUCCGCGUUGUAACCUCGAGACGCAUUUUCCGUGCGGCGCUAUGGACAAGUUCCUUGGAACAGGACAUCGUAGAGGGUGAAAAUCCCGUACUUGCCAUGGAUGUACCGUGCUUUGCGAUACGUGCUCUAAGAGUCGAGUUGUUUGGGAUUGCAGCUCAAAAUGGGUGGUAGACUCCAUCUAAAGCUAAAUAUCGGGGAGAGACCGAUAGCGAACAAGUACCGUGAGGGAAAGAUGAAAAGCACUUUGGAAAGAGAGUUAAAAGUACGUGAAAUUGUCGAAAGGGAAGCGCUUGAAGUCAGCCAUGCCGCUCAGGACUCAGCCUGGCUUUUGCUUGGUGUAUUUCCUGGGUAGCAAGUCAGCAUUGGUUUGGGUCGUCGGAGAAGCAUAGUCGGAAUGUGGCGCCCUCGGGCGUGUUAUAGCCUUCUAUUGGAUACGACGAUCUAGACCAAGGAACGCAGCGCGCCUUAUGGCGGGUCUUCGGACACCUUCGCGCUUAGGAUGCUGGCGUAAUGGCUUUAAGUGGCCCGUCUUG